rnacentral:rRNA from 1 species
CUACGGAGGGUGCAAGCGUUACUCGGAAUCACUGGGCGUAAAGCGCGCGCAGGCGGCUUGGUAAGUUGGAUGUGAAAGCCUACGGCUCAACCGUAGAACUGCAUCCAAAACUGUCAAGCUAGAGUGUGGGAGAGGAAGAUGGAAUUAGUUGUGUAGGGGUAAAAUCCGUAGAGAUAACUAGGAAUACCAAAAGCGAAGGCAAUCUUCUGGAACACUACUGACGCUGAGGCGCGAAAGCGUGGGGAGCAAACAGGAUUAGAAACCCCAGUAGUCC